GGCGGGCUAAUACAUGCAGUCGAGCGGACAGAAGGGAGCUUGCUCCCGGAUGUUAGCGGCGGACGGGUGAGUAACACGUGGGUAACCUGCCUGUAAGACUGGGAUAACUCCGGGAAACCGGAGCUAAUACCGGAUAGUUCCUUGAACCGCAUGGUUCAAGGAUGAAAGACGGUUUCGGCUGUCACUUACAGAUGGACCCGCGGCGCAUUAGCUAGUUGGUGAGGUAACGGCUCACCAAGGCGACGAUGCGUAGCCGACCUGAGAGGGUGAUCGGCCACACUGGGACUGAGACACGGCCCAGACUCCUACGGGAGGCAGCAGUAGGGAAUCUUCCGCAAUGGACGAAAGUCUGACGGAGCAACGCCGCGUGAGUGAUGAAGGUUUUCGGAUCGUAAAGCUCUGUUGUUAGGGAAGAACAAGUGCAAGAGUAACUGCUUGCACCUUGACGGUACCUAACCAGAAAGCCACGGCUAACUACGUGCCAGCAGCCGCGGUAAUACGUAGGUGGCAAGCGUUGUCCGGAAUUAUUGGGCGUAAAGGGCUCGCAGGCGGUUUCUUAAGUCUGAUGUGAAAGCCCCCGGCUCAACCGGGGAGGGUCAUUGGAAACUGGGAAACUUGAGUGCAGAAGAGGAGAGUGGAAUUCCACGUGUAGCGGUGAAAUGCGUAGAGAUGUGGAGGAACACCAGUGGCGAAGGCGACUCUCUGGUCUGUAACUGACGCUGAGGAGCGAAAGCGUGGGGAGCGAACAGGAUUAG
rnacentral:rRNA from 1 species